rnacentral:misc_RNA from 1 species
ACCCAACACUGGCACUGCCGUACACUCACCAAUAACUACACACAUGAUGCAGUCCGAGGGGCGAAUCAACGCCGGUUGACUGCUCGUGGUGUAUUGAGAAAGCAUGGAUACACAACUAAAAGUGAUCCAAAACACAACGGUAGUACCUUAAACCUAGCUCAAGCCUUAACUAACAAGUCACUACGAAUAAACAUGGCGGGAAGGAGAAUAGGUUCGCAAACCCCCCAUGUUGCAACCUUUGGAACAAUAAAACUAACGUAGCAACACUACGGAUAGUAAGAUUAGCAACUCACGAGGUUGUUAAAAUGCCCACAACACGUACAAUUUCUAAGAACCCUUCGGAAAGGUAAUACGAAUAUUAAAUAUCGAGCCGAAACGAGCACGAUAAACUUAUUUUCGGAUGUGCUAAGCACCGCAUCGUACCCCUCCUUACGUUUUGCAUUAACACAACCAAGAAUUUUCCUGCACGAUGGACCAACUAGGACGGUCAUCAG